rnacentral:lncRNA from 1 species
CACAUCUGGGUCCGGAACAGAACAGGUGAAGGAACAAAGCAGUGUUUGCAGUAAUCGCUGGGGCUGGGAGUCAUGACUUUGAAGGAAGAAGCACGCUAACACAAACGGCAAAGCACGUGUGAGAAGGGGGCUCAUCUGUCUUCCACCCCAAGCCUCUCACUACCGCAACCCAAGUGCAGGUGUGCAGAGCCAAGGGGCCUCCUCAUGCUGCCAUGGACAUCAGAGACUCCCAGGACCCUUUCCAUGUGGCUUCGUGGCCAGAUAUCAAGCAAUGCUGCCAAUUCUGAAGAAGCUGAUAUAGAAGAUGAAGAUAAUGGGGUAGAAGAAAAGCCAUUCAAAAAUGAACUCCUUGGAAAAGCCUGUUGUUAAUGCGAGGCAGAAGACACGCACCAAGCUCACCGCCCAAGGGCCCAAGUCCAAAAACCGUCCCAGCAAGUCCAAUGCUCUCAGCCGGUGCACCUGGCUUAGCAGCACCUGGAAAACAGAGAAAGACAUGGAGCCACCGAAGCAGGACACCUGACUGCUACCACCCCUCCGAGAAAGCUCCAGUGUGAGCUGGUGGCCCUGAGGGUCUGACAACACAACCCCACGGCUUCUGUUCUAGCUGGGCUUCUGCCUGUCAAUUCGUGCUUUAGACAGACUGAGAAAAUACUUCAUUACCCAAGUAAACUAUGCCACCCGCACCAAGUACCAGUGUGAGCAGCACACUGUGCUCAGCAGGCCCUCACUGCUGCUCUGCUCUCUGUGCAGCAAGGUCUAUCCCACUUCCUUUUUCAGUGAGAUUAUACAUGGUGAGGGCUGUUCCCCUCCCUAGACACUUGGGACAAUAUUUCUCUCUCCCAGUGGAAGCACAGUGUGUCCUCUGUAGAAAUGUGCAUGGCUUGUUUAAAUGAUUUCCCUAAUGCUAGACAUCACAGACAACUCUGACAAAUGUCCUAAUCUGCACAGCUUUUCACAAUUGUCUUCUCCUGAGGAUGAAGUGAAGAAGUGAAAUUAUAGGUUGUAACAUCUAUAAUUAAGAACUAGCCGUUGGCUAGACCACUCCACCCUUUUAACAAGAAGCAUCACCCAUAACACUUGCUGGAUGUGACCGGGCAAACAAAGUGCCCGGUGUCUCUGGUUUAUUAAUGCUCAGUACAAGGUCAACACAAUCCUCAGGAACAGACACAGAGUCUCCUGGGACAGCACUGUCCACUGUCACCACUCAAUACAAACACAAGGAUCAUUAUCGAAGCCUAUGGGAGCAAUAUAAAGUACUGCUUAUUUUUCCCCCCAAUAGCACAUUUUCUGUUUCUUCUAUUGAUUAAAACCUUUUAAAAAACU